rnacentral:lncRNA from 1 species
CAUUGUCUGACAUCUUCCAUAUCUGCUUGUCGUAGCUCUUUUGAAUUAGAGUAAAUCAUUUGAUGAUCUCUCGAAUAAUAGCUCCAUAUUGGAUUUCCAUUAGUAUAAUUAUUUGCUAGUUCUUGGAUAAUCGUAGCUAGUCCAAUAAGUCGUUUAUUUGCGUAGAAGUCGGGUAUCUCAAUUCUGGGUAUCUCCGGCUGCUGUGUAAUAUCUUCUGGUAUAAUCAUAUCUCUAGUUAGUCC